rnacentral:rRNA from 1 species
UACAAGGAUGGGCUCGCGGCCUAUCAGCUUGUUGGUGAGGUAACGGCUCACCAAGGCUUCGACGGGUAGCCGGCCUGAGAGGGCGACCGGCCACACUGGGACUGAGAUACGGCCCAGACUCCUACGGGAGGCAGCAGUGGGGAAUAUUGCGCAAUGGGCGAAAGCCUGACGCAGCAACGCCGCGUGCGGGAUGACGGCCUUCGGGUUGUAAACCGCUUUCAGCAGGGACGAAGCAACACGUGACGGUACCUGCAGAAGAAGCACCGGCCAACUACGUGCCAGCAGCCGCGGUGAUACGUAGGGUGCGAGCGUUGUCCGGAAUUAUUGGGCGUAAAGAGCUUGUAGGCGGUCUGUCGCGUCCAAAGUGAAAACUCAGGGCUCAACCCUGAGCCUGCUCUCGAUACGGGCAGACUAGAGGAAUGUAGGGGAGAACGGAAUUCUUGGUGGAGCGGUGGAGUGCGCAGAUAUCCAGGAGGAACACCCGGUGGCGAAGGCGGUUCUCUGGACAUUUCCCUGACGCUGAGAAGCGAAAGCUGUGGGUAGCAAACAGGCUUAGAUACCCCUGGUAGUCCACGCCCCUAAAACGCGUGGGUANNAGGUGUGGGGGACAUUUCCACGUUUCUCC